UUUUUUUCUGUUUCCAUCAAUAACCAAAGGAUGACUUUGGCGUCCAUUAUUUGGUGACAGAGGAAUGUUAAACAAAAUGUUUAGCCUCUUUGAAAGUCAGGACCCCUGCUUGAAUCUUUGCUUCAGUGAAACCAUACUAAGGUUGAUUAAGCACCACUGUCACAUUCAGUAAGAAAAACAGAAACCAUCAGAAAAGUCCUUAGUCACAGUUACACAACAAAAUGUUUCAUAAUGUUUCUGGUUUCAUCUUUUGUUGUUCUUUCUAACUGGAACAGAUCCCGUCUCCCUCACUGGGCCGGAGGGGGAUAUUGAGUUUGUUCUGUGGGUCAAAGGUCACUGAGGGGAGGGGCGAGAUGUGGAUCCUGCAUCUCCUGGUUGUUUCUUCAGAGAUAUUCCAUGAGGUCAGAGAUGAGGUGAUGUUACACAACCGGGAGACAGCUGAGCCAGAGGAGCUCCUGCUGACCUGCUGAUGGACGCUCAAAAUCUGAACUGUAAGCAAGAGACGAAUCAUGAAUGAUCUGAAUUUAUAUGAUGCUAUUUUGAAACAUGUAAUUCACCAAAAACAGGGAAAAUGUGUCUUUUUCUAUUUCAGAGGUACGCUUCAGGCACCAAAACUGCAAUUCUCUAAGUGACCACUGGAGAGUGUCUCUGUAAGGGACUCAAUCUACAUAGAUCUACAUUAAAAAAGGCCCUCUAAAUGCCCUUUCAGUGGAUAAAAUGUCAACAAAGUGCUCUCUGGAUUUCUUUUCAUGGAUAAAUGUAAGUAAAGUGUCCUCUAGCUACCCUUCAAGAGGAUAACAUAUAAACGAAG
rnacentral:lncRNA from 1 species